rnacentral:tRNA from 1 species
GCAUUGGUGGUUCAGUAGUAGAAUUCUCGCCUGCCACGUGGGAGACGUGGGUCCGAUUCCCGGCCAAUGCA